rnacentral:rRNA from 1 species
CCUACGGGAGGCAGCAGUCGAGAAUCAUUCACAAUGGGGGAAACCCUGAUGGUGCGACGCCGCGUGGGGGAAUGAAGGUCUUCGGAUUGUAAACCCCUGUCAUGUGGGAGCAAAUUAAAAAGAUAGUACCACAAGAGGAAGAGACGGCUAACUCUGUGCCAGCAGCCGCGGUAAUACAGAGGUCUCAAGCGUUGUUCGGAAUCACUGGGCGUAAGGCGUGCGUAGGCUGUUUCGUAAGUCGUGUGUGAAAGGCGCGGGCUCAACCCGCGGACGGCACAUGAUACUGCGAGACUAGAGUAAUGGAAGGGGAACCGGAAUUCUCGGUGUAGCAGUGAAAUGCGUAGAUAUGGAGAGGAACACUCGUGGCGAAGGCGGGUUCCUGGACAUUAACUGACGCUGAGGCACGAAGGCCAGGGGAGCGAAAGGGAUUAGAUACCCGUGUAGUC